rnacentral:rRNA from 1 species
AUUGAACGCUGGCGGCAUGCCUUACACAUGCAAGUCGAACGGCAGCACGGGUGCUUGCACCUGGUGGCGAGUGGCGAACGGGUGAGUAAUACAUCGGAACGUACCUUAUCGUGGGGGAUAACGCAGCGAAAGUUGCGCUAAUAACGCAUACGCACUGAGGGGGAAAGCGGGGGACCGUACGGCCUCGCGCGAUUAGAGCGGCGGAUGUCUGAUUGGAUUGCUGGUGAGGUAAAAGCUCACCAAGGCGAUGAUCAGUAGCUGGUCUGAGAGGACGAUCAGCCACACUGGGACUGAGACACGGCCCAGACUCCUACGGGAGGCAGCAGUGGGGAAUUUUGGACAAUGGGGGCAACCCUGAUCCAGCAAUGCCGCGUGAGUGAAGAAGGCCUUCGGGUUGUAAAGCUCUUUUGUCAGGGAAGAAACACCGGCUCUAACACAGUCCGGGAAUGACGGUACCUGAAGAAUAAGCACCGGCUAACUACGUGCCAGCCGCCGCGGUAA